GAUGAACGCUCGCGGGAGGCCUAACACAUGCAAGCCGAGCGGGAUUUGUUGGUUAGCUUGCUAACUAACAAUGAGAGCGGCGUACGGGUGCGUAGCACGUGUGCAACCUGCCUUUAUCUGGGGGAUAGCCUUUCGAAAGGAAGAUUAAUACCCCAUAACAUAUUGAUUGGCAUCAGUUAAUAUUUAAAGCUCCGGCGGAUAGAGAUGGGCACGCGUAAGAUUAGCUAGUUGGUGAGGUAACGGCUCACCAAGGCUGCGAUCUUUAGGGGGCCGGAGAGGGGGAUCCCCCACACUGGUACUGAGACACGGACCAGACUCCUACGGGAGGCAGCAGUGAGGAAUAUUGGACAAUGGGUGAGAGCCUGAUCCAGCCAUCCCGCGUGAAGGACUAAGGACCUAUGGUUUGUAAACUUCUUUUAUACAGGGAUAAACCUACUCUCGUGAGGGUAGCUGAAGGUACUGUAUGAAUAAGCACCGGCUAACUCCGUG
rnacentral:rRNA from 1 species